UGAGGAAUAUUGCGCAAUGGGGGCAACCCUGACGCAGUGACGCCGCGUGAGUGAUGAAGGCUUUCGAGUCGUAAAGCUCUGUUAGGUGGAAAGAAACAUCCCGGCGCUAAUGUCGUCGGGACUUGACGGUACCACCAGAGGAAGCACCGGCUAACUCCGUGCCAGCAGCCGCGGUAAUACGGAGGGUGCAAGCGUUGUUCGGAUUUACUGGGCGUAAAGGGCGUGUAGGCGGUUGGCUAAGUCAGAUGUGAAAUCCCUUGGCUUAACCAAGGAACGGCAUUUGAAACUAGCUAACUAGAGUACAGGAGAGGAAAGUGGAAUUCCCAGUGUAGAGGUGAAAUUCAUAGAUAUUGGGAGGAACACCGGUAGCGAAGGCGGCUUUCUGGUCUGAUACUGACGCUGAGACGCGAAAGCGUGGGUAGCAAACAG
rnacentral:rRNA from 1 species